CCUACGGGUGGCAGCAGUGAGGAAUAUUGGUCAAUGGGCGGGAGCCUGAACCAGCCAAGUCGCGUGAGGGACGACGGUCCUAUGGAUUGUAAACCUCUUUUGUCGGGGAACAAAGGCGCCCACGGGUGGGCGGAUGAGUGUACCCGAAGAAAAAGCAUCGGCUAACUCCGUGCCAGCAGCCGCGGUAAUACGGAGGAUGCGAGCGUUAUCCGGAUUUAUUGGGUUUAAAGGGUGCGUAGGCGGAAGGUUAAGUCAGCGGUCAAAUGUCGGUGCUCAACACCGGCCUGCCGUUGAAACUGGUCUUCUUGAGUGAGCGAGAAGUAUGCGGAAUGCGUGGUGUAGCGGUGAAAUGCAUAGAUAUCACGCAGAACUCCGAUUGCGAAGGCAGCAUACCGGCGCUCAACUGACGCUGAGGCACGAAAGCGUGGGGAUCGAACAGGAUUAGAUACCCUAUAGUC
rnacentral:rRNA from 1 species